GUUAUUGUGCCUCGAUUGUUUUUUUAAGUAAUCUGCCAGUGCCCUGAGAUUGUGUUCUGGAUCCUCCCCUGGUUGCCGUCACACAGACGGCCAAUAGAGGUGCUUCCUGCAUUGUGCGGCACUGACAUUCUCUAUAGAGACGCUGAACUUUCCCCAUAGAUAUGCAUUGAGUCUAUGAGGAGAUGCUGAUUAGUGCAGAGCGGCGUUUUGCACAGAGGUUUUUUGCACAGACAGGCUAAUUAUUUGUUCUUGUCAAGCUAAAUGUAGCCUGCCCUUGACUGGUC